UACGUAGGGUCCGAGCGUUGUCCGGAAUUAUUGGGCGUAAAGAGCUCGUAGGCGGUUUGUCACGUCUGCUGUGAAAACUGGAGGCUCAACCUCCAGCCUGCAGUGGGUACGGGCAGACUAGAGUGCGGUAGGGGAGAUUGGAAUUCCUGGUGUAGCGGUGGAAUGCGCAGAUAUCGGGAGGAACACCGGUGGCGAAGGCGGUUCUCUGGGCCUGUACUGACGCUGGAGGAGCGAAAGCGUGGGGAGCGAACAGG
rnacentral:rRNA from 1 species